rnacentral:misc_RNA from 1 species
AAAAUUGUGACAGAAAAAAGGCCUCAUGUUGGUUCAGACGAGGAAGAAGAGGAUGCCCGCGACCCCAAUGCUGUGCCGACGGAUUUUACUAGCAGGGAAGCGAAGGUUUGGGAAGCUAAAUCCAAAGCUACUGAGAGAAACUGGAAGAAACGAAAGGAGGAAGAAAUGAUUUGUAAAAUAUGUGGAGAGUCGGGCCACUUUACUCAGGGAUGUCCAUCUACUCUCGGAGCGAGUCGGAAGUCUCAAGAUUUCUUUGAGAGAGUGCCUGCAAGGGAAAGCCAUGUGAAAGCUUUAUUCUCCGAGAAAGUUAUAAAUCAAAUUGAGAAAGAUGUUGGCUGCAAA